UAGGCAAGGCUAGAAGUGAAUGUGUGCAGACAAGAUUAUCUAGCACUUCAAUAUGCACAGUUUAAAUGCAACAUUAUGUAUAGGGCAAAGCAGAGGUCUUCUCAAAUCAUUCUCAAUUGCUUUUUGCAUUUUCUAAAAUGAUAAAUCUUUAUUUUGAGCAGUAACCAUAAGAUCUGAAGUCAGAUUACCCUAUUCUUGUGGUUUUGCCUUUCUGAACUAGGUCAGGGCCACUUAAGACUGAAAAUUGAAACAUUACUUACUUUGAAUGCAGACAGCAAAGCAUGAAGUGUAAAUGAGAUUUCUAAACAAGGGCAGAAUGCAAAUAUAAUGUGGCAUAUUUACUAAUAGUGUACUUUUAUUUCUUUUAAUCAGUAUUUAGUAAUGCAAUCAUAACAGGCUUAGCAGCACUUUUAAUGUCUUAAACUUGAGUGAAAAGUAAAGGCACAAAACGGACUAGUCGGCCCCUUUAUUUAUACAAUCCUUUACAAACCAUGUAUGGCCAUACCCGCACAGGGGCGCUCUGGAACAAACCAUCAACACAUUUUUCCCAAAUGAAAACCUCUUGCGUGUCAUUUAGACUUAACACUCUGCAAAUCCUGCAGCCAUUGCAUUCUGUUUGAAAUGGUAUUUUAAAUGUAAGCAAUACAAUACAAGGGUUAGUGGAAGAGAGAUCUAUGGCUAGGCUAAAGGACACAUGCAUGCAGAGAAAGAACAUGUGGCACAAGACAACCUAUUCUUUGGUAAUCCAAUGCUAACUGAUGCUUCACAACAUUCAGUUGAAAGGAUGUAAGAGAAAAUCAGAUAGGUCGAGGCCCUAAAAACAAUCUCUGUUGGCAUUCAUGGAAAACAAGCUGUAUUAGUUGUCAGCACAAAUUUAUUCUUCAGUUAACAGAUUCAUACUACCAAGGGCAAAAUAACCACACCAUUCAUCCAAUCAAACCUUCCUGAAGAAAAAAAAAUAAUUAUGCAGUGUUAAUUGAAAUGACAUCAGGUUUAUGUUGUCCAGCCCCAAGACUACUGCAACAUCUCAUUUAUACAUAGCAAUUGGAGAUUAAAGUCCCAUUCUCUGAACUUUUUUUUCUUCAGACUGGCUUUAUUCAAUAGUAUGGAUGACUAUAAAUAAGUGUUUCCACUAU